rnacentral:rRNA from 1 species
CAGCCGCCGCGGUAAUACGUAGGUGGCGAGCGUUGUCCGGAAUUAUUGGGCGUAAAGGGCUCGCAGGCGGUUUCUUAAGUCUGAUGUGAAAGCCCCCGGCUCAACCGGAGAGGGUCAUUGGAAACCGGGAAACUUGAGUGCAGAAGAGGAGAGUGGAAUUCCACGUGUAGCGGCGAAAUGCGUAGAGAUGUGGAGGAACACCAGUGGCGAAGGCGACUCUCUGGUCUGUAUCUGACGCUGAGGAGCGAAAGCGUGGGGAGCGGACAGGAUUAGAUACCCCGGUAGUCCCUGUCUCUUAUAU